rnacentral:rRNA from 1 species
GGGUUGUGAGGUUAAGCGACUAAGCGUACACGGUGGAUGCCCUGGCAGUCAGAGGCGAUGAAGGACGUGCUAAUCUGCGAUAAGCGUCGGUGAGGUGAUAUGAACCGUUAUAACCGGCGAUUUCCGAAUGGGGA